GAAACAUUAUGUUCAAUUAUAUUCCUGAGAUAAAAAGAAGUUGAGAGAAUCAAAUGUUCGAAGAUUUAUCAUUUAUUGAGAAAGCAACUAUCAUAAAUAAGCUCCAGGGCAUAAAAUUAUUCAUAGAACAGGACAGGGGUACAAAAUCUUGGUUCAUGUAUGGAACUCGAUAAUCUACACUUUGGCCUAACAAAAGAAAUGAUCAACUCAUGCUGCUGGAGCAUAAUCAUAGAUAACGUCAUCGUCGUCGUCACCGUUUUCUGAAAACACAGCUUGAGCAUACUGAAUUGCUUCAUCAUUGUUAGUAAUGUCGCCUCCAUAGACGUUGUCAUAUGUGCAAAAAAGAAAUUCAGAGACAGAAAACAUAGUUCUUUCUUUAAAUAAAGGACAAAGAAAGUGAAAAUUAUGUGUCAAAGAGCAAAGGAUUGAUGUGAAUUUGAUGAGUUAACGGGAAACGGUUGGACUCUUUAUAGGUGAAACCAAAAGUUAAUUCUGGACUCGUUUCCGUC
rnacentral:lncRNA from 1 species